rnacentral:sRNA from 1 species
GUGAGAGCUUGAGAAAUAGAGAAGAAAAAGUUAGGGAGAAAUUUUUAGUUGCAAGAAGAGUAGAGGUUCUGAAGGAUUUCGGGGGAAACAAAUUCGGAGCAGGAGAUUAAGUCUGGAAUAGAGGUUUGGUUGUUCUCCGCUCUUUGUGUAGAUUUAAGCCUGCUAUUGUGGUUGUCACUUCUGAACUUCCUCUCGGUUUAGGAUUGGGUUCCUCGGCCUCGUUUUGUGUGGCUCUCGCAUUGACCUUGUUGGCUUAUACUGAUUUAGUUUAUAUGGAUUUGAGUCAUCAAGGAUGACUUUUUACGAGAUCUUGAGUUGGUAAAUAAGUGGACCUUUGAACAGGAGAAGAUCAUUCAUAGAAAGCUAGAUUGUUAAAGUUUGAUUGGAGUAAACUAGAUUUUUAGACAAAGAAACUAAUUUUUCUAAAUUUGAUUAUGGUAUGUAUAGAUUGAAGUUAAGAUUGAAGAAAUAAAGAAAUAUGGUAUGCAUAAGUAGUUAUUGAAUAUUGA